rnacentral:rRNA from 1 species
GACGAACCGUGCAAACGUUGUUCGGAUUCACUGGGCUUAAAGGGCGCGUAGGCGGGUGGUCAAGUCAGGGGUGAAAUCCUCCAGCUCAACUGGAGAACAGCUUUUGAUACUGGCCAUCUUGAGGGAGGUAGGGGCAUGUGGAACUUCCGGUGGAGCGGUGAAAUGCGUAGAUAUCGGAAGGAACGCCGGUGGCGAAAGCGACGUGCUGGACCUUUUCUGACGCUGAGGCGCGAAAGCGUGGGGAGCAAACAGG